rnacentral:rRNA from 1 species
ACCUGCUCAAUGAUAAUAUUCAAUAGCCGCAAAAUUUAUGUGCUAAGGUAGCAUAAUCAUUUGUUUUUUAAUUAAAAACUAGAAUGAAAGGUUAUACAUUCAAAUUUCUUUAUUAAUUUUUAAUAAAUAAUUUAUAUUAAAUAUAAAAAUAUAUUUAUAAAAAAAAAAGACGACAAGACCCUAUUAAAUUUUACUUAUAGUUUAGCUGGGGAAGCUUUCCAAUUAAAAUUUUUUAAAUUAAAUAAAUAAAAAUCUAAUAAAAUUAAAAUUUUAAUAAAUUACUAUAGGGAUAACAGCAUUAUAUUUUUUUAAAGUUCAUAUUAAAAAAAAUGAUUGUGACCUCGAUGUUGAAUUAUAUUUUCUAUAUUAAUGCAAUAAUUAUAAAAGU